UGGUCAAAGGAACUUUACCGGUCAGAGAUACCGGUCUCGGGCACCGGUGAUCGUGGGUUCAAAUCCCACCCGCCCCACCA
rnacentral:tRNA from 1 species